GGGGGAGUGUCGGAACUGGUAGACGAGCAUGACUUAGGAUCAUGUGGAGAUGAUCCGUGUGGGUUCGAGUCCCACCUUCCCCACCG
rnacentral:tRNA from 1 species